AAAUACCCCCUUAUAAGUUUACACUUUUUUAUUUUAAUAUUCUAUAAUUUAAAGUGUAUCAAAUUAGUCUCUAUGAUUUCGCACUUUCUCACUUUAGUACCAUGUGGUUUAAAGUGUAUCAAGUUAGUACUCUAUGAUUUUAUUUUUCUCUUUUUAUUAUCUAUUUCACUAAUUUUUUUCGUUAAAUCAAUAACAAAGUUAAAAUUAAAAGGUAUUAAAGUAAAUAUUUGAUAAAUCUAGGUAAAAUAUCUGAAGUUUUUUAUAUACAAUUUAACGAAAUAUUAACGGAGGAAAAAAAUCAAUGACAAAAUUAAAGCUAAAGAGUACUAAAGUAAAUAUUCGAUAAACCUAGGUAGGAUAUCCGAAGGUUUUUGUAUAUAAUUUAACGAAAUAUUAAUAGAGGAGCCCACGAAAAGAGAAAAAGAAAAUCAGGGUAUUAAAUUAAUACAUUUUAAACCACAGAAUAUUAAAGUGAGAAAGUACAAAACCACAGGAUACUAAAUUGAUGCACUUUAAACUAUAUGAUACUAAAGUGAAAAAGUACGAAAUCACAGGAAUUAUAUUUGAAUUUUUCC
rnacentral:lncRNA from 1 species